AACCCUAAAUACCUAGCUAGGGGGUGAUGGGUAAGCUCCGCCGUUGCCGGUCCCAAGCCCGGAAGAGAAAGGAGGAGGGUAGGUGUGGAGGAGAACAACCCAACCAUAAGAGAAAACAACGCCGAAAAUCGGGUGGCGGUCAAUAAACCCGACCCCUGCGACACCUGUUGGAGAGUGGCUCACAGAAACCAUGAGGAAUUAAAUAACCUGUAAAAUUCUGCAGUGGAAGGAUCUGGGUGCCCACCACUACAUAUUUACCCAAGAAAACUCUCUCAACGCACAGUACCAUUGACAGAGCUAGUUAGUUGAGCGAUCCGGCUAAGCCCCGGCGCCGCUCGGUAACCGGGCCGGGCGGUGUUAAAUUUGCCUCAUAAUGCCCGAUGCGAGGAGGAGGUGUGAAAAAUCUAUCGCCGAAUGAAUGUCUACGUUAAAAAAGGAGAUUUACAGAAAUGGAGUGCUUUUAAUGAUACCUACAGGCUAUACAUGUUUUUACAGGUGUGUGACGAAUGACCAAUGACGCUUUGCAGUUCAAGAUCUGAGCGGGGUGGUAUAGACGAUAAUCACCGGUUGAUCUUGUACCGCGUGGUCAUAUGAAGUUAGCCUAGAUCAGUGCCCUCGCCUGUUAUACAUCAGAAAGACGUUCACGAACAGCAGAUGUGACCACCAGUAUUGCUGACAGUCGCUGAUCGGUGUGCCCACGUAGUAGUUCCACAACGGACCAUUGCCGAGGUGGCGGAACCACGUGGUGGUGAAACCGAGG